AUGUCGUUUUGGGGGAAAUUCCUCAUCAUUCCCUUAUAUCUCUCCCAAGCUUGAUAUACAGAUUCAUCAUCAUUUUGUAGGAAUUUUGCUAUUUUCUUCUUGAGUUU